GUCGCGGUUGUGUGCUGUGAUGUGCUAAUUAUUCUGAAGUUCAAUCAGAUGGCAUUUUGUGUUUUCAUUUCAACUGUAAAAACACAGUAUUUGUGACAUGUUGACAAGUGCGUCUUUAAUUGCUCCAUGGAUAUCUUCCAAGCUCAUGUGUUUUCCACUUACUUUGUGAAGAAAGUUGUGUAAUUAGCUCCAAGGCUACAGGGUGCGUUGCUCAUUAUUGUAUUUUCAUUUCCUCUGCAGUGAUAGAUACAGAAAGCUGACAAAUAUGAAACCCCAUCUUACAUGCUGAACCCUACCUCAACUGGAUUGCAAAGGUGGAGAGUUCUGGCUGGUUUUGCAAAUCAAGAAACUGUCUAUAUCAGAAGCAUCAAUGCCCCUCACAGAGUGAUUCAUAUUUCCUGAGAACCUGUGUGACAGGGAGAAAAGAUGAGGUGGUGGUAAAAGUCAUUGUUGUGGCCUUUUCUACUUGAUCUGGAAGAACCAGAUGUGGUUAUAACUCAAAGAGCUUUUUUUCUGCUCUCCUUCCCUGUACUGCCAUCUGAGUUGGCUUGAUUAGCUGCUCUCUGGGAUCAACCUGCCUGUCCCUCGUGACGGUAUAUCAGCAUGCUCUAUCAGAAGUAAGUUUAAAUGUACCUAUUUGAAAGGGAAACCAGUAGCUAUGCCAGUGUGAAGGUGGGUGUGGGAGCUUGCCUUCUGUUUCUUCCGUAGUGUUCAGUGAUAGAGCAUUAGGGCAAUUUUUGGUGAAGGACAAUUCUACCUCAUUAAUUCUCACUAUGUUUAGAAUUUAGAACAGCCAAAGUGUUUGAAGGUCCAGUCAAUCAAGCUGUUCUCUUGUCCAUCUUCCUGUUUAACCUUAGAGUUCCCUGCUUUUUCUUGGCUAAACCACUUAUGCUUCAAGCAAGCUGGGAAGCAAAACAAGGUCUUAUCUGAAAGGGACAAACUUUGGGCCUAAAUUGCAGUAUGCUUUUUCUGGAAAUUGAGCUGGGGGAGGAAAGAAUUUGCCAUUCAAGUUACAAAGUUAUGCAACAUCACAAUGAGCUUGCCAGCAUCCUCCAGGGAAGACUAUGCAGCCAAUGUUUAAUAUUUAUAGCCUCAAUAAAAGUACAGGGGCAAUAAUCUAAUUAAAAACAGGAAAAAAAAAAAAGAAAAGAAGAAAUUGGAUAUACUUCUCCUGUUCCAUUCUUUGCUGGUGCAUGGACCAGCUACUGUGGUAUGAGAGAUGUCCUCAUCUGAGCCUUCUGUUUUUCUUUUGAAAUGACCAUAAAGUUACUCUGUUCUCCUUU